GAUGAACGCUAGCGGCAGGCCUAAUACAUGCAAGUCGAACGGGAUCCAGAUCAAAGCUUGCUUUGGUCUGGUGAGAGUGGCGCGCGGGUGCGUAACGCGUGAGCAACCUACCCUUGUCAGGGGGAUAGCCCGGCGAAAGUCGGAUUAAUACCGCAUGACAUCAUUGAGAGGCAUCUUUCGAUGAUCAAAGAUUUAUCGGACAAGGAUGGGCUCGCGUGACAUUAGCUAGUUGGUAAGGUAACGGCUUACCAAGGCUGCGAUGUCUAGGGGCUCUGAGAGGAGAAUCCCCCACGCUGGUACUGAGACACGGACCAGACUCCUACGGGAGGCAGCAGUAAGGAAUAUUGGUCAAUGGACGGAAGUCUGAACCAGCCAUGCCGCGUGCAGGAAGACGGCCCUAUGGGUUGUAAACUGCUUUUAUACGGGAACAAACGUCGGUACGUGUACCGGUCUGAGUGUACCGUAAGAAUAAGGAUCGGCUAACUCCGUG
rnacentral:rRNA from 1 species